rnacentral:rRNA from 1 species
GUCCAGACUCCUACGGGAGGCAGCAGUGGGGAAUAUUGCACAAUGGGGGAAACCCUGAUGCAGCGACGCCGCGUGAGUGAAGAAGUAUUUCGGUAUGUAAAGCUCUAUCAGCAGGGAAGAAAAUGACGGUACCUGACUAAGAAGCCCCGGCUAACUACGUGCCAGCAGCCGCGGUAAUACGUAGGGGGCAAGCGUUAUCCGGAUUUACUGGGUGUAAAGGGAGCGUAGACGGCAUGGCAAGUCAGAUGUGAAAGGCCGGGGCUCAACCCCGGGACUGCAUUUGAAACUGUCAGGCUGGAGUGCAGGAGAGGUAAGUGGAAUUCCUAGUGUAGCGGUGAAAUGCGUAGAUAUUAGGAGGAACACCAGUGGCGAAGGCGGCUUACUGGACUGUAACUGACGUUGAGGCUCGAAAGCGUGGGGAGCAAACAGGAUUAGAUACCCGCGUAC